ACAGCUUGGGACUGCUGAGGGGCAGGCGGCUGCAGGCUAGGGGCGGCUCGGAGUCCGCUGGCCACCCAGCUGAGAGGAGAGGCGCCCCCGGGGACGGACAAGAAGGACUCCUACCAGCCUGUGUGCAACAUCCCCAUCAUCACAUCCCUAAAGGAGGAGGAGCGGCUCAUCGAAUCCUCCACCAAGGUACCAGGACCUCUGAGGGGUGCGGGCCGGGGAUGCCAGUCCCCUGGCCUGGCCCCUCACUCUGAACUCCUUCACAGCCCGUGGUGAAGCUGCUGUACAACAGAAGCAACAACAAGUAUUCCUACACCAGCAACUCUGACGACCACCUGCUGAAAAACAUCGAGCUGUUUGACAAGCUCUCCCUGCGCUUCAACGGCCGCGUGCUCUUCAUCAAGGAUGUCAUUGGUGACGAGAUCUGCUGCUGGUCCUUUUAUGGCCAGGGCCGUAAGCUGGCAGAGGUGUGCUGUACCUCCAUCGUGUAUGCCACGGAGAAGAAGCAGACCAAGGUGGAAUUCCCAGAGGCCCGAAUCUAUGAGGAGACACUCAACGUCCUACUCUAUGAGACUCCCCGCGUCCCCGACAACUCCUUGUUGGAGGCCACAAGCCGUAGCCGCAGCCAGGCUUCCCCCAGUGAAGAUGAGGAGACCUUUGAA
rnacentral:sRNA from 1 species